rnacentral:rRNA from 1 species
GUAGUAACUUUACGUCUCGCACUGGGAUCCGGAGGGACUCUUGCCGUAAAACCCCCAAUUUUCCAAAGGUUGACCUCGGAUCAGGUAGGAAUACCCGCUGAACUUAAGCAUAUCAAUAAGCGGAGGAAAAGAAACCAACAGGGAUUGCCUCAGUAACGGCGAGUGAAGCGGCAACAGCUCAAAUUUGAAAUCUGGCCCUAGGCCCGAGUUGUAAUUUGCAGAGGAUGCUUUUGGUGCGGUGCCUUCCAAGUUCCCUAGAACGGGACGCCAGAGAGGGUGAGAGCCCCGUACAGUUGGACACCAAGCCUUUGUAAAGCUCCUUCGACGAGUCGAGUAGUUUGGGAAUGCUGCUCAAAAUGGGAGGUAUAUUUCUUCUAAAGCUAAAUACCGGCCAGAGACCGAUAGCGCACAAGUAGAGUGAUCGAAAGAUGAAAAGCACUUUGAAAAGAGGGUUAAACAGCACGUGAAAUUGUUAAAAGGGAAGCGCUUGUGACCAGACUUGCGUCCGGUGAAUCACCCAGCUCUCGCGGCUGGGGCACUUCGCCGGCUCAGGCCAGCAUCAGCUCGCUGUCGGGGACAAAAGCUUCAGGAACGUAGCUCUCUUCGGGGAGUGUUAUAGCCUGUUGCAUAAUACCCUUCGGCGGGCUGAGGUACGCG